ACCCAUCUGGUAUAGUUGUUAGUAACGCUGACAACUGCGCUGUAGAGCCUGGGUUCGAAUCCCGGAGUGGGUG